rnacentral:tRNA from 2 species
GCCGGCAUAGCUCAGUUGGUAGAGCACCUGAUUUGUAAUCAGGGGGUCACGAGUUCGAAUCUUGUUGCCGGCACCA